rnacentral:misc_RNA from 1 species
AAAGAUAAAGGGUAUUACUUUAAGACCACGAGAUUUUUCUCUUCCGAUUGAGGAGCUAAAAUCAGCAGUAUCUAAGAAUACUCGAGCAAUCCUCCUAAAUACUCCGCAUAACCCCACUGGAAAGAUGUUCACUCGAGAAGAACUCAACGUCAUUGCCUCUCUGUGCAUUGAGAAUGACGUUCUAGUUUUUGCUGAUGAAGUUUAUGACAAGUUAGCCUUUGAAAUGGAACACAUUUCAAUUGCUUCUCUUCCCGGGAUGUAUGAACGAACUGUAACCAUGAAUUCUUUGGGAAAGACAUUCUCGCUAACAGGCUGGAAAAUAGGUUGGGCAAUAGCUCCUCCUCAUUUGACAUGGGGAAUACGACAGGCUCAUUCCUACCUCACCUUUGCAACAUCCACUCCGAUGCAAUAUGCAUCUGCUACUGCCCUUAGAACUCCAGAUUCUUACUAUGAGGAGCUUAAGAGGGAUUACUCAGCCAAAAAGGAAAUACUGGUGGAGGGGCUAAUGAAAGCUGGUUUCACAGUAUACCCCUCGAGUGGAACGUACUUUGUGGUUGUUGAUCAUACCCCUUUUGGGUUGGAAAAUGACAUUGCUUUCUGUGAAUACCUGAUCAAGGAAGUUGGCGUUGUAGCCAUUCCAACUAGCGUAUUCUAUCUAAAUCCGGAAGAAGGAAAGAAUCUUGUGAGGUUUACCUUCUGCAAAGAUGAAGACACUCUUAGAAGUGCAGUGCAGAGGAUGAAGGAGAAGCUGUCAAGGAAGUGAAUACCUUAUUGUUCUGGCAUGAAUUAUUUGCAACUGUGAUACCCUGGGAGUAAACUAAACCUAGUGGUGUUAUUUCAUUAUAAGUUAAAAUGAUUUUCGUGUUCCUUUCACUGCUAGUACGAUACUUCCAUUUGAGGUGAAGUGCUAUUAUUUAGAUUUAUCUGAAUGAGACAUUUGAUAAUUAAAGCGCAUUUAACACUUUAUUGGUCUGGAUAGAUU